CUAAACUGACUUUGACCAUUAUUUCAACUCCUAUAUACUCCUCAUCCUCCUCUCCUUUCGUUUCAUUCUCAAGUAUCAAGUCUCAACCAAUCUCUUUUUCUCUUCUUGGCAAAAAGCAGCAACUUUCUUUCGCCGUCUCCUCUCAGGCCAGAUUUUUGUUAAAACCUUAACUGGUAAGACCAUCACCCUUGAAGUUGAGAGCUCGGAUAUAUACCAUUGACAACGUCAAGGCGAAAAUCCAAGACGGGGGAUUCCUCCAGACCAGCAGAAGUUGAUUUUUGCUGGAAAGCAAAUUGAAGAUGGCUGAACUCUUGCUGAUUACAAUAAUUAAAAGGAGUCAACCCUCCAUCUUGUCCUCCGUCUACGUGGUGGCAUGCAGAUCUUUGUUAAGACUUUUGACGGGGAAGACUAUCACCUUGGAGAUUAAGAGUUCUGACACAAUAGACAAUGUGAAGGCCAAAAUUCAAGACAAGGAAAGCAUUCCCCGACCAGCAGCGUUUGAUAUUUGCAGGGAAGCAACUUGAAGAUGGAAGGACACUUGCUGACUAUAACAUACAGAAGGAGUCAACACUUUAUCCGGUGUUGCGUUUGAGGGGAGGUAUACAGAUAUUUGUCAACACACUUUGACAGGGAAGACCAUAACAUUAGAAGUGGAGAGCUCCGACACUAUAGAUAAUGUGAAGGCGAAAAUUGAGGACAAAGAAGGGAUCCCACCAGACCCGCAGAGGCUCAUGUUUGCUGGUAAGCAGCUGGAGGAUGGGCGUACCCUUGCGGAUUACAAUAUCCAAAAGGAAUCCACACUCCACCUUGUCCUUCGCCUUCGCCUGCGUGGUGGUGACUACUGAGGAUUGAGGCUCUCUGGAGUUUUAUAUAACAUCUUAUGUCUUUGUUUUGAUGGCUGUGUUGUUAGACUUCUUUUUGGUAUUUGAAGAAUACUAAUGUUGAAUGACCAAACCUUAAGGGGUUAGCUUUUAAUUAGAUAGAUUUCUUUUCCUUUGGUCUGCUAAAAA